rnacentral:rRNA from 1 species
AGCGAACGCUGGCGGCAGGCCUAACACAUGCAAGUCGAACGGAUCCUUCGGGAUUAGUGGCGGACGGGUGAGUAACACGUGGGAACGUGCCCUUUGGUUCGGAACAACUCAGGGAAACUUGAGCUAAUACCGGAUGUGCCCUUCGGGGGAAAGAUUUAUCGCCAUUGGAGCGGCCCGCGUCUGAUUAGCUAGUUGGUGAGGUAAAGGCUCACCAAGGCGACGAUCAGUAGCCGGUCUGAGAGGAUGAUCAGCCACAUUGGGACUGAGACACGGCCCAAACUCCUACGGGAGGCAGCAGUGGGGAAUCUUGCGCAAUGGGCGAAAGCCUGACGCAGCCAUGCCGCGUGAAUGAUGAAGGUCUUAGGAUUGUAAAAUUCUUUCACCGGGGACGAUAAUGACGGUACCCGGAGAAGAAGCCCCGGCUAACUUCGUGCCAGCAGCCGCAGUAACAC